rnacentral:snoRNA from 1 species
UGAUGACCGUACUUCCUGUUGCCUUCAGGUCUAGCAUUAUGACUUGAGGUGAUCAUAAAUUAAAACUUGAUUUUCCUCACUCAGAGAAAUUAGAAUAAUAAGAUUAUCUGUCUAUUCUCCGAAAUUUGCAGAAUCAAACAAUU